rnacentral:rRNA from 1 species
UACGUAGGGGGCAAGCGUUGUCCGGAUUUAUUGGGCGUAAAUAGCUUGUAGGCGGUUUGGUAGGUUCGCUGUUAAAACUCGAGGCUCAACCUCGAGACGCCGGCGGAAACCAUCAGGCUAGAGUCCGGAAGAGGAGAGUGGAAUUCCUGGUGUAGCGGUGAAAUGCGCAGAUAUCAGGAAGAACACCCGUGGCUAAGGCGGCUCUCUAGUACGGUACUGACGCUGAGACGCGAAAGCGUGGGGAGCGAACAGG